rnacentral:rRNA from 1 species
UGAUGCAGCGACGCCGCGUGAGGGAUGACGGCCUUCGGGUUGUAAACCUCUUUCAGUAGGGAAGAAGCGAAAGUGACGGUACCUGCAGAAGAAGCGCCGGCUAACUACGUGCCAGCAGCCGCGGUAAUACGUAGGGCGCAAGCGUUAUCCGGAAUUAUUGGGCGUAAAGAGCUCGUAGGCGGUUUGUCGCGUCUGCCGUGAAAGUCCGGGGCUCAACUCCGGAUCUGCGGUGGGUACGGGCAGACUAGAGUGAUGUAGGGGAGACUGGAAUUCCUGGUGUAGCGGUGAAAUGCGCAGAUAUCAGGAGGAACACCGAUGGCGAAGGCAGGUCUCUGGGCAUUAACUGACGCUGAGGAGCGAAAGCAUGGGGAGCGAACAGGAUUAGAUACCCUGGUA